rnacentral:rRNA from 1 species
ACACGUCUACAUUAGAUACCCCGGUAGUCCCAGCCGUAAACUAUGCGCGUUAGGUGUAUCGGUGACCACGAGUUACCGAGGUGCCGAAGGGAAACCGUGAAACGUGCCGCCUGGGAAGUACGGUCGCAAGGCUGAAACUUAAAGGAAUUGGCGGGGAGCACCACAGCAGGUGGAGCCUGCGGUUUAAUUGGACUCAACGCCGGGAAGCUCACCGGAUAGGACAGCAGAAUGAUUGCCGGGCUGAAGACCCUGCAUGACUUGCUG